UUAUUUAAAGUCUAACCUGCCCAAUGAGUAUUUUAAUGGCUGCAGUAUUUUGACUGUACAAAGGUAGCAUAAUCAUUAGUUUCUUAAUUAGGAACUAGAAUGAAAGGUUGAACGAGAAAAUAACUGUCUCUUUAUAAUUUUUUUAGAAUUUUAUUUUUAAGUUAAAAAGCUUAAAUAUUUUUAAAAGACGAGAAGACCCUAUAGAGUUUUAUAUUUAUAUUUAAAAUUUUAAUUAUGAUUUUUUUUUUAUUUUAAAUAAUGAAUAUUUAAUUGGGGUGAUUGAAAAAUUUAAUAAACUUUUUUAAUUUUAAAACAUAUAUUUAUGAUUAUUUGAUCCAUUAAUUAUGAUUAUAAGAAUAAAUUACCUUAGGGAUAACAGCGUAAUUUUUUUAGAGAGUUCAAAUCGAUAAAAAAGUUUGCGACCUCGAUGUUGGAUUAAAAAAAAAUUUUGGUGUAGAAGCUAAAAGAUUAGGUCUGUUCGACCUUUAAAAUUUU
rnacentral:rRNA from 1 species